rnacentral:rRNA from 1 species
GUCCAGACUCCUACGGGAGGCAGCAGUGGGGGAUAUUGCACAAUGGGGGGAACCCUGAUGCAGCGACGCCGCGUGGGUGAAGGAGUAUUUCGGUAUGUAAAGCCCUAUCGGCAGGGAAGAAGAAAGACGGUACCUGACUAAGAAGCCCCGGCUAACUACGUGCCAGCAGCCGCGGGAAUACGUAGGGGGCGAGCGUUAUCCGGAUUCACUGGGUGUAAAGGGAGCGUAGACGGCAGUGCAAGUCCGGAGUGAAAGCCCGGGGCUCAACCCUGGGACUGCUCUGGAAACUGUAAAGCUGGAGUGCGGGAGGGGCAGGCGGAAUUCCUGGUGUAGCGGUGAAAUGCGUAGAUAUUAGGAGGAACACCAGUGGCGAAGGCGGCCUGCUGAACGAUGACUGACGUUGAGGCUCGAAAGCGUGGGGAGCAAACAGGAUUAGAUACCCUGGUA